GACGAACGCUGGCGGCGUGCUUAACACAUGCAAGUCGAACGGUAAGGCCCUUCGGGGUACACGAGUGGCGAACGGGUGAGUAACACGUGGGUGAUCUGCCCUGCACUUCGGGAUAAGCCUGGGAAACUGGGUCUAAUACCGGAUAGGACCCUGGGAUGCAUGUCCUGGGGUGGAAAGCUUUUGCGGUGGGGGAUGGGCCCGGGGCCUGUCAGCUUGUUGGUGGGGUGCUGGCCUACCAAGGCGACGACGGGUAGCCGGCCGGAGAGGGUGACCGGCCACACUGGGACUGAUAUACGGCCCAGACGCCUACGGGAGGCAGCAGUGGGGAAUAUUGCACAAUGGGCGCAAGCCUGAUGCAGCGACGCCGCGUGAGGGAUGACGGCCUUCGGGUUGUAAACCUCUUUCAGCACCGACGAAGCGCAAGUGACGGUAGGUGCAGAAGAAGGACCGGCCAACUACGUGCCAGCAGCCGCGGUAA
rnacentral:rRNA from 1 species